GACAGAGGAUGCAAGCGUUAUCCGGAAUGAUUGGGCGUAAAGCGUCUGUAGGUGGCUUUUCAAGUCCGCCGUCAAAUCCCAGGGCUCAACCCUGGACAGGCGGUGGAAACUGCCAAGCUGGAGUACGGUAGGGGCAGAGGGAAUUUACGGUGUAGCGGUGAAAUGCGUAGAUAUCGUAAGGAAGACCAGUGGCGAAGGCGGGUCUCUGGACAGUUCCUGACGCUGAUGCACGAAGGCCAGGGGAGCAAACGGG
rnacentral:rRNA from 1 species